rnacentral:rRNA from 1 species
UACGUAGGGUGCAAGCGUUAAUCGGAAUUACUGGGCGUAAAGCGUGCGCAGGCGGCUUUGCAAGACAGAUGUGAAAUCCCCGGGCUUAACCUGGGAACUGCAUUUGUGACUGCAUGGCUGGAGUGCGGCAGAGGGGGAUGGAAUUCCGCGUGUAGCAGUGAAAUGCAUAGAUAUGCGGAGGAACACCGAUGGCGAAGGCAAUCCCCUGGGCCUGCACUGACGCUCAUGCACGAAAGCGUGGGGAGCAAACAGG